rnacentral:lncRNA from 1 species
CCCAUCAAUCAUUUUUCCAAAAAUUUUCUUCACAUUUCCAUUAAAAACUUUCUCAACAUCAAAUUCAUUCUUCUCAGAAUAAAAUUGAUUCGAGAUCUCAAUCUUACCAACUUUUGUUUUGAAAUUGUCAGUCCUCAAUGGUGGAAUUUUAACAUCAUCCACUGAUGAUACUGAUUUUUCUUCUUUUACCUCAACUUGUGGCUCCUCUGAUUUUGUGGAAUCAGGUUCAUCGCCGACUUUCUCAUCAAGCUUUUUAACAACCCACAUUUGGUUGUCUUUUGCUUUAUUUUUAUAAAAAUUUUUCUUUGAACACUCUCCAGCCUCAUAAGUAGAAUUUUCAAAAAUUUUGAACUUUUCAGUUGGUGGUUCAACAUUAAUAAUUUUUUCUUUAAGUUUUUCAGAUACUCCUUGUUUUUUCUUUGUAUCCAUCGAACAAUUCCAUGCAAUGUGACCAGCUUCAUUGCAUUUAAAACAGGUUCGAGUAUCCUUUCUAUGUAAAACUCCAGUUCCUUUUCUUUUCUUUUCAGCAAGAAACUCCUUAUUUGAUUGUCUCCAGAAUGGUUUCUUCUGUUCUUCCUCAGCACUUCCUCCUGAAACAAAAUUUGUUUUUGUUUUAGAAUUUUUUUCAUUUUUAUAAUUUUCUGGUGGAAUAAAACCAAGACCUUUCUUUUUAAAAUUACCAUUAUGGUUUGGUUUCUUUUGAAAACCAGAACCAGAAUUGUAACCCUUUUUCUUGUUUAAUCGCUGUUGAACUCUUGAAGUGUAUUUUUUAGGUUUUUCAGUAAGAUUUAAAUCUUUUAUUUCAGAAAUAUUAAUUUCUGUCAUUUUGAAAACCUUUUUGAUCAUGUCAAAACGAACACUUCUGAUUGUAAACUCUUUGUCAAAAUAGAAUUUGUCAGAAUCAUUCAAAGUAUAUGCUACUUCGAAUGUUUCAUCAUCCAAAUUUGAUUUUGAUAACAAAAACUCUUUACUGUAAGUCCGUUUAACCAAUGGUUUUGGACUGUUGACCGAUGAACUUGAACCUCCAGACUCAGACUUUGACUCAGACUCCUCAUCAGUAUCCAACACCUGAUCGACCACCUUUUUGAUUAACUCAGACUCAUGAUCAGUGUCAGAUGAUGUGAACGUGACGUCAAUGUUUUCUGUUUUCUGGGAGAAUAUCCUUCCCAGAUCGGAGGUGGACACUUGUUAUAGCUAACACUCGGUUUCUUACCAGUAUCCUUCUUCUUUGGCUUCUCAUCUUGAAAUGCUUCGAAACCUGCAACAGUUGGAUAAAUUCGAUCAAUAAGAUAAUCAGAACUAGAAUAACUCUGUAAUAAGCGUCUGAUUCUCUCAUUCUCAAUUUUCUCAGUCUCCAACUCUUGUUUCAGUUUAGCCCAUUCUUCAAUAUAAUGAUUUAUAGCUUUUUGUUUUGUCAUCAUCACAGCAUUCAUCAUAGUUAAUGCCUUUUCUCUUUCAGAAUUCGUCUUUUGAAGACCAGUUACUGUUCUGUUCAGAACAUCAUAAGACUCCUUCACGUAGUUGAGAUUGAACAGUAAUUGUUCUUUCAUCUUCUCAAACUCAAACAACUUCUUCAUCAUCAUCAUUGUCAUCAGUUGGUGAUUGAUCAAACUCGAUUGACUUAUCAGAACUAUCAUCUGAAAAACCAGAAUUAGAUGGUGUUUGAUCAAAAACAGUUGCUUUUUCUGAACUUUCAUCUGAACUUAGUGAGCUUUUGAUGCGCGUGUAGUGUAAUAUAUUUUUGGUAUAUAUUUUAAGCCCUUUUUACACUUUUUAGCCAAGUUUUAAAUUUAUAAAACACGAUAUUUACUAACACUAAACACACAUAUGGGAAAGUGCACCCAUCGUGGACGUAGUAUGGUGUUGGGUUGAUACCGAGGUCGUCCAAGGACAUAAGAGCUUUUAGUACCGGUAUAUCCUCAACGUCUAAUCAAAUCAAAAUGUUAGAAAAGAUUUUUAAACUAAGAAAAUAAAACUA